rnacentral:rRNA from 1 species
AGUCAUAUGCUUGUCUCAAAGACUAAGCCAUGCAUGUCUAAGUAUAAAUGUUAUGCAGUGAAACUGCGAAUGGCUCAUUAAAACAGUUAUAGUUUAUUUGAUAAUCAAAUUUACAUGGAUAACCGUGGUAAUUCUAGAGCUAAUACAUGCUGUUGUGCCUGACUUUUAGGAAGGGCCGUAUUUAUUAGAUAACAAACCAAUAUUCGCUCACGCGUCUAUUGUGACGACUCAUAAUAACUGAUCGAAUCGCAUGGGCCUUGCCCGCGAUAAAUCAUUCAAGUUUCUGCCCCAUCAGCUUUCGAUGGUAGUGUAUUGGACUACCAUGGCUUUAACGGGUAACGGAGGAUUAGGGUUCGAUUCCGGAGAGGGAGCCUGAGAAACGGCUACCACAUCUAAGGAAGGCAGCAGGCGCGUAAAUUACCCAAUCCUGACUCAGGGAGGUAGUGACAAGAAAUAACGGACCGAGGCUUACGCUUCGGGAUUGCAAUGAGUAGAAUUUAAACCCCUUUACGAGGAACCAU